rnacentral:rRNA from 1 species
AAGCAACGCGAAGAACUUACCAGGCCUUGACAUGCAGAGAACUUUCCAGAGAUGGAUUGGUGGCCUUCGGGAACGUCUGACACAGGUGCUGCAUGGCUGUCGUCAGCUCGUGUCGUGAGAUGUUGGGUUAAGUCCCGUAACGAGCGCAACCCUUGCCUUUAGUUGCCAGCAGUUCGGCUGGGCACUCUAAAGGGACUGCCGGUGUUAAACCGGAGGAAGGUGGGGAUGACGUCAAGUCCUCAUGGCCUUUAUGACCAGGGCUACACACGUACUACAAUGGCCGAUACAAAGGGCAGCGACACUGCGAGGUGAAGCCAAUCCCGUAAAAUCGGUCUCAGUCCGGAUUGGAGUCUGCAACUCGACUCCAUGAAGUUGGAAUCGCUAGUAAUCGUGGAUCAGCAUGCCACGGUGAAUACGUUCCCGGGCCUU